CACCGGCAGCUCUAGUGGUAGCAGUUUUUAUUGGGCCUAAAGCGUCCGUAGCCGGUUUGAUAAGUCUCUGGUGAAAUCCUGUAGCUUAACUGUGGGAAUAGCUGGAGAUACUUUUAGACUUGAGACCGGGAGAGGUUAGAGGUACUCCCAGGGUAGAGGUGAAAUUCUGUAAUCCUGGGAGGACCGCCUGUUGCGAAGGCGUCUAACUGGAACGGUUCUGACGGUGAGGGACGAAAGUUAGGGGCGCGAACCGGAUUAGAUACCCGGGUAGUCCUAACUGUAAACGAUGCGGACUUGGUGUUGGGGUGGCUUUGAGCUGCUCCAGUGCCGAAGGGAAGCUGUUAAGUCCGCCGCCUGGGAAGUACGGUCGCAAGACUGAAACUUAA
rnacentral:rRNA from 1 species